CGCGUAGGCGGGAUCGUGGGUCGGCCGUGAAAUCCACCGGCUCAACCGGUGAACUGCGGUCGAAACUGCGGUCCUUGAGUUUGGUAGAGGAAGACGGAAUUCCUGGUGUAGCGGUGGAAUGCGUAGAUAUCAGAAAGAACACCAGUAGCGAAGGCGGUCUUCUGGGCCACAACUGACGCUGAGGCGCGAAAGCUAGGGGAGCGAACA
rnacentral:rRNA from 1 species